UGCCGCGUGCAGGAUGACGGUCCUAUGGAUUGUAAACUGCUUUUGUACGGGAAGAAACAGUUCUACGUGUAGAACCUUGACGGUACCGUAAGAAUAAGGAUCGGCUAACUCCGUGCCAGCAGCCGCGGUAAUACGGAGGAUCCAAGCGUUAUCCGGAAUCAUUGGGUUAAAGGGUCCGUAGGCGGUUUGGUAAGUCAGUGGUGAAAGCCCAUCGCUCAACGGUGGAACGGCCAUUGAUACUGCCAGACUUGAAUUAUUAGGAAGUAACUAGAAUAUGUAGUGUAGCGGUGAAAUGCUUAGAGAUUACAUGGAAUACCAAUUGCGAAGGCAGGUUACUACUAAUGGAUUGACGCUGAUGGACGAAAGCGUGGGUAGCGAACAGGAUUAGAUACCCUGGUAGUCCACGCCGUAAACGAUGGAUACUAGCUGUUGGGAGCGAUCUCAGUGGCUAAGCGAAAGUGAUAAGUAUCCCACCUGGGGAGUACGUUCGCAAGAAUG
rnacentral:rRNA from 1 species